UGAGUAACCUGCCCUUGACUCUGGGAUAAGCCUGGGAAACUGGGUCUAAUACUGGAUACUACCUCUUACCGCAUGGUGGGUGGUGGAAAGGGUUUUACUGGUUUUGGAUGGGCUCACGGCCUAUCAGCUUGUUGGUGGGGUAAUGGCUCACCAAGGCGACGACGGGUAGCCGGCCUGAGAGGGUGACCGGCCACACUGGGACUGAGACACGGCCCAGACUCCUACGGGAGGCAGCAGUGGGGAAUAUUGCACAAUGGGCGGAAGCCUGAUGCAGCGACGCCGCGUGAGGGAUGACGGCCUUCGGGUUGUAAACCUCUUUCAGUAGGGAAGAAGCGAGAGUGACGGUACCUGCAGAAGAAGCGCCGGCUAACUACGUGCCAGCAGCCGCGGUAAUACGUAGGGCGCAAGCGUUGUCCGGAAUUAUUGGGCGUAAAGAGCUCGUAGGCGGUUUGUCGCGUCUGCUGUGAAAGCCCGGGGCUCAACCCCGGGUCUGCAGUGGGUACGGGCAGACUAGAGUGCAGUAGGGGAGACUGGAAUUCCUGGUGUAGCGGUGAAAUGCGCAGAUAUCAGGAGGAACACCGAUGGCGAAGGCAGGUCUCUGGGCUGUUACUGACGCUGAGGAGCGAAAGCAUGGGGAGCGAACAGGAUUAGAUACCCUGGUAGUCCAUGCCGUAAACGUUGGGCACUAGGUGUGGGGGACAUUCCACGUUUUCCGCGCCGUAGCUAACGCAUUAAGUGCCCCGCCUGGGGAGUACGGCCGCAAGGCUAAAACUCAAAGGAAUUGACGGGGGCCCGCACAAGCGGCGGAGCAUGCGGAUUAAUUCGAUGCAACGCGAAGAACCUUACCAAGGCUUGACAUUCACCGGACCGCCCCAGAGAUGGGGUUUCCCUUCGGGGCUGGUGGACAGGUGGUGCAUGGUUGUCGUCAGCUCGUGUCGUGAGAUGUUGGGUUAAGUCCCGCAACGAGCGCAACCCUCGUUCUAUGUUGCCAGCACGUGAUGGUGGGGACUCAUAGGAGACUGCCGGGGUCAACUCGGAGGAAGGUGGGGAUGACGUCAAAUCAUCAUGCCCCUUAUGUCUUGGGCUUCACGCAUGCUACAAUGGCCGGUACAAAGGGUUGCGAUACUGUGAGGUGGAGCUAAUCCCAAAAAGCCGGUCUCAGUUCGGAUUGAGGUCUGCAACUCGACCUCAUGAAGUCGGAGUCGCUAGUAAUCGCAGAUCAGCAACGCUGCGGUGAAUACGUUCCCGGGCCUUGUACACACCGCCCGUCAAGUCA
rnacentral:rRNA from 1 species